rnacentral:rRNA from 1 species
GCCAAAAUAGUAUUAAAGGUUCAACCUGCCCAGUGAAAUAAAUCUUAAACGGCCGCGGUACCCUAACCGUGCAAAGGUAGCGUAAUCACUUGUCCUUUAAAUAAGGACUAGUAUGAACGGUUAAAUGAGGGAAAACCUGUCUCUUGUGGGCAAUCAGUGAAACUGAACUUCCAGUUCAAAUGCUGGAAUAUACAUAUAAGACGAGAAGACCCUGUGGAGCUUAAAACUGCCUUCAAACAAUAAAUUGAACAUAGUUUUUAGUUGGGGCGACUUCGGAGUAAAACAAAACCUCCGAGAAACAGAGCACCACUCAUUAAUGCAGGCCCACAUGCCAACACCAAUAAAAUUGACCCGGACCAAUCCGAUAAACGAACCAAGUUACCCCAGGGAUAACAGCGCUAUCUUCUUUAAGAGUCCAUAUCAACAAGAAGGCUUACGACCUCGAUGUUGGAUCAGGACACCCAAAUGGUGCAGCCGCUAUUAAUGGUUCGUUUGUUCAACGAUUAACAGUCCUACGUGAUCGUC